GGGGGAUCCUACGGGAGGCAGCAGUAGGGAAUCUUCCACAAUGGACGAAAGUCUGAUGGAGCAACGCCGCGUGUGUGAUGAAGGGUUUCGGCUCGUAAAACACUGUUGUAAGAGAAGAAUAGCAUCUAGAGUAACUGCUAGGUGUCUGACGGUAUCUUACCAGAAAGGAACGGCUAAAUACGUGCCAGCAGCCGCGGUAAUUA
rnacentral:rRNA from 1 species